AACGAACGCUGGCGGCAUGCCUAACACAUGCAAGUCGAACGAAGCCUUCGGGCUUAGUGGCGCACGGGUGCGUAACGCGUGGGAAUCUGCCCUUGGGUUCGGAAUAACAGUUAGAAAUGACUGCUAAUACCGGAUGAUGACGAAAGUCCAAAGAUUUAUCGCCCAAGGAUGAGCCCGCGUAGGAUUAGGUAGUUGGUGGGGUAAAGGCUCACCAAGCCGACGAUCCUUAGCUGGUCUGAGAGGAUGAUCGGCCACACUGGGACUGAGACACGGCCCAGACUCCUACGGGAGGCAGCAGUGGGGAAUAUUGGACAAUGGGCGAAAGCCUGAUCCAGCAAUGCCGCGUGAGUGAUGAAGGCCUUAGGGUCGUAAAGCUCUUUUACCAGGGAUGAUAAUGACAGUACCUGGAGAAUAAGCUCCGGCUAACUCCGUGCCAGCCGCCGCAGUAACAC
rnacentral:rRNA from 1 species